CAGCGGCGCAUCACGCGUUUGGUUCUACGAGAUCAACGUCAGCGUACGUAUAGAUUUCGAAGCGUCAUAGGCCGUGAAGUUAGGUCGGCCCUACUUCGCUCCCAAUAUGAGCUCAAGAUCACAACGAGAGCUGCAUUUGGCUCCCACGACGCGACCAAACCGUGAUUCGUCCACUGCUGUUCCAACAACCACAGAGACCCAGUUUGCGGCUCGCGAUGUUGCGAGGAAAAAAAGUAAGUACA